UGCGGAGGGAUCAUUACCGAGUUUACAACUCCCAAACCCCUGUGAACAUACCAAUUGUUGCCUCGGCGGAUCAGCCCGCUCCCGGUAAAACGGGACGGCCCGCCAGAGGACCCCUAAACUCUGUUUCUAUAUGUAACUUCUGAGUAAAACCAUAAAUAAAUCAAAACUUUCAACAACGGAUCUCUUGGUUCUGGCAUCGAUGAAGAACGCAGCAAAAUGCGAUAAGUAAUGUGAAUUGCAGAAUUCAGUGAAUCAUCGAAUCUUUGAACGCACAUUGCGCCCGCCAGUAUUCUGGCGGGCAUGCCUGUUCGAGCGUCAUUUCAACCCUCAAGCCCAGCUUGGUGUUGGGACUCGCGAGUCAAAUCGCGUUCCCCAAAUUGAUUGGCGGUCACGUCGAGCUUCCAUAGCGUAGUAGUAAAACCCUCGUUACUGGUAAUCGUCGCGGCCACGCCGUUAAACCCCAACUUCUGAAUGUUGACCUCGGAUCAGGUAGGAAUACCCGCUGAACUUAAGCAUAUC
rnacentral:misc_RNA from 1 species